rnacentral:lncRNA from 1 species
UAAACCUUGUAAAUACUUACAAAUUAUAUUUCAAUAGGGUUAUACAGUUUGGGUGCUGGUCUUGGAUGUCCCACCGAUGGAUGAGGUCUUGCAUUUAUUACAGAUUCUCCACAGCUCGUGUAAGCAGCAUCGUGUAGCCCAAUUUUACCCUUUGUUAUAAAACCAUUUAAUCAUUAAACACUAGGCUAUUUAUGUCCACUCAAUAAUUCAAUGGUUUAUCAACC